rnacentral:sRNA from 1 species
GAUGAUUUAAGAUGUAUAAAAACAAAUGGAAUGGAUUGCAAGUCGUAAAAGAAAGACAACUCUUGUAGAUUUAAUUUGAAAGAGUUAUUUUUCUUGCACUCGUAACUGUGUUUUGACAAACUAUAAACUUUUACAUGUAUCUUCUAUUUAUUGUGAAAUGCAUUUUUAAAAUUGUGAUAAUGAUCUUAUGAUAACCUAAUAUUAUGUCUCAUGACUUGAUAUUUAGAAUUAUCUUAUUCUUAAUUUUACAUCAGCAUUAAAUAGGUUGUGAUC